rnacentral:snRNA from 1 species
AUACUUACCUGGCAAGGGAGACACCGUGAUCAUGAAGGCAGUUUUCCCAAGGUGAGGCUUAUCCAUUGAACUCUAGGUAUGCUGACCCCCCAAAAUUUCCUCAAAUGUGGGAAACUCAACUGCAUAAUUUGUGUUAGUGGGGGGCUGUGUUCACCUA